AGCGAACGCUGGCGGCAGGCCUAACACGUGCAAGUCGAACGAACUCUUCGGAGUUAGUGGCGGACGGGUGAGUAACACGUGGGAACGUGCCUUUAGGUUCGGAAUAACUCAGGGAAACUUGUGCUAAUACCGAAUGUGCCCUUCGGGGAAAGAUUUAUCGCCUUUAGAGCGGCCCGCGUCUGAUUAGCUUGUUGGUGGGG
rnacentral:rRNA from 1 species